AGUAAUGCAUCGGAACGUACCCAAUCGUGGGGGAUAACGUAGCGAAAGUUACGCUAAUACCGCAUAAGUCCUGAGGGAGAAAGCAGGGGAUCGCAAGACCUUGCGCGAAUGGAGCGGCCGAUGUCGGAUUAGCUAGUUGGUGGGGUAAAGGCCCACCAAGGCGACGAUCCGUAGCUGGUCUGAGAGGACGACCAGCCACACUGGGGCUGAGACACGGCCCAGACUCCUACGGGAGGCAGCAGUGGGGAAUUUUGGACAAUGGGCGAAAGCCUGAUCCAGCCAUGCCGCGUGAGUGAAGAAGGCCUUCGGGUUGUAAAGCUCUUUCGGACAGAAAGAAAUCUCUUGGGCUAAUACCCUGAGAGGAUGACGGUACUGUAAGAAGAAGCACCGGCUAACUACGUGCCAGCAGCCGCGGUAAUACGUAGGGUGCGAGCGUUAAUCGGAAUUACUGGGCGUAAAGGGUGCGCAGGCGGUUAUAUAAGACAGAUGUGAAAUCCCCGGGCUCAACCUGGGAACUGCGUUUGUGACUGUAUAACUAGAGUACGGUAGAGAGGGGUGGAAUUCCUGGUGUAGCAGUGAAAUGCGUAGAUAUCAGGAGGAACAUCGAUGGCGAAGGCGGCCCCUUGGACCUGUACUGACGCUCAUGCACGAAAGCGUGGGGAGCAAACAGGAUUAGAUACCCUGGUAGUCCACGCCCU
rnacentral:rRNA from 1 species